rnacentral:rRNA from 1 species
UACGGAGGGUGCAAGCGUUAAUCGGAAUUACUGGGCGUAAAGCGCACGCAGGUGGCUGAGUCAGUCGAUUGUGAAAGCCCUGGGCUUAACCUGGGAAUUGCAGUCGAUACUACUCAGCUAGAGUAUGGGAGAGGGUAGUGGAAUUCCCGGUGUAGCGGUGAAAUGUGUAGAGAUCGGGAGGAACACCGGUGGCGAAGGCGGGUCUCUGGGCAUCUCCUGACGCUGAGGCGCGAAAGCGUGGGGAGCAAACGGG